ensembl:snRNA U6 U6 spliceosomal RNA
GUGCUUGUUUCAGCAGCAUAUAUAACAACAUUUUAAUGAUAUAGAGAAGAUUAGCAUGACUCCUAUGCAAGGAUGACACACAAAUUCAUCAAAUAUUCUAUAUUUUU